rnacentral:rRNA from 1 species
GACGAACGCUGGCGGCGUGCCUAAUACAUGCAAGUCGAACGCAGUGGGGACGGGUGAGUAACACGUGGGUAACCUCCCAUCAGAGGGGAUAACACUUGGAAACAGGUGCUAAACCGAUACUGAUGGAUGAACCCGCGGUGCAUUAGCUAGUUGGUGGGGUAACGGCUCACCAAGGCCACGAUGCAUAGCCAACCGCAUAGGUUGAGCGGCCACACUGGGACUGAGACACGGCCCAGACUCCAACGGGAGGCACCAGUAGGGAAUCUUGGGCAAUGGACGAAAGACUGACCAAGCACCGCCGCGUGUGUGAAGAAGGUUUUCGGAUCGUAAAGCUCUGUUGUAAGAGAGGCGGUAUCUAACCAGAAAGCCACGGCUAACUACGUGCCAGCAGCCGCGGUAAUAC